rnacentral:rRNA from 1 species
GGGUUGUGAGGUUAAGCGACUAAGCGUACACGGUGGAUGCCCUGGCAGUCAGAGGCGAUGAAGGGCGUGCUAAUCUGCGAUAAGCGCCGGUAAGGUGAUAUGAACCGUUAUAACCGGCGAUACCCGAAUGGGGAAACCCAGUGUGAUUCGUCACACUAUCAUUAACUGAAUCCAUAGGUUAAUGAGGCGAACCGGGGGAACUGAAACAUCUAAGUACCCCGAGGAAAAGAAAUCAACCGAGAUUCCCCCAGUAGCGGCGAGCGAACGGGGAGGAGCCCAGAGCCUGAAUCAGCAUGUGUGUUAGUGGAAGCGUCUGGAAAGGCGCGCGAUACAGGGUGACAGCCCCGUACACAAAAGCGCAUGUGCUGUGAGCUCGAUGAGUAGGGCGGGACACGUGGUAUCCUGUCUGAAUAUGGGGGGACCAUCCUCCAAGGCUAAAUACUCCUGACUGACCGAUAGUGAACCAGUACCGUGAGGGAAAGGCGAAAAGAACCCCGGCGAGGGGAGUGAAAAAGAACCUGAAACCGUGUACGUACAAGCAGUGGGAGCACCCUUUGGGUGUGACUGCGUACCUUUUGUAUAAUGGGUCAGCGACUUAUAUUCUGUAGCAAGGUUAACCGAAUAGGGGAGCCGGAGGGAAACCGAGUCUUAAUUGGGCGUUAAGUUGCAGGGUAUAGACCCGAAACCCGGUGAUCUAGCCAUGGGCAGGUUGAAGGUUGGGUAACACUAACUGGAGGACCGAACCGACUAAUGUUGAAAAAUUAGCGGAUGACCUGUGGCUGGGGGUGAAAGGCCAAUCAAACCGGGAGAUAGCUGGUUCUCCCCGAAAGCUAUUUAGGUAGCGCCUCGUGAAUUCAUCUCCGGGGGUAGAGCACUGUUUCGGCUAGGGGGCCAUCCCGGCUUACCAACCCGAUGCAAACUGCGAAUACCGGAGAAUGUUAUCACGGGAGACACACGGCGGGUGCUAACGUCCGUCGUGAAGAGGGAAACAACCCAGACCGCCAGCUAAGGUCCCAAAGUCAUGGUUAAGUGGGAAACGAUGUGGGAAGGCCCAGACAGCCAGGAUGUUGGCUUAGAAGCAGCCAUCAUUUAAAGAAAGCGUAAUAGCUCACUGGUCGAGUCGGCCUGCGCGGAAGAUGUAACGGGGCUAAACCAUGCACCGAAGCUGCGGCAGCG